GACGAACGCUGGCGGCGUGCUUAACACAUGCAAGUCGAACGGAAAGGCCCUGCUUUUGUGGGGUGCUCGAGUGGCGAACGGGUGAGUAACACGUGAGUAACCUGCCCUUGACUUUGGGAUAACUUCAGGAAACUGGGGCUAAUACCGGAUAGGAGCUCCUGCUGCAUGGUGGGGGUUGGAAAGUUUCGGCGGUUGGGGAUGGACUCGCGGCUUAUCAGCUUGUUGGUGGGGUAGUGGCUUACCAAGGCUUUGGCGGGUAGCCGGCCUGAGAGGGUGACCGGCCAUGUUGGGACGGAGAUGCGGCCCAGACUACUAGGGGAGGCAGCAGUGGGGAAUAUGGCACAAUGGGCGGGAGCAUGAAGCAGCAACGCGGCGGGCGGGAUGACGGCCUGCGGGUUGUAAGCCGCUUUCGGCUGUGACGAAGCGUGAGGGACGGUAAGGGGUAAAGGAGCACCGGCUAACUAC
rnacentral:rRNA from 1 species